GACGAACGCUGGCGGCGUGCUUAACACAUGCAAGUCGAACGGAAAGGCCCUGCUUUUGUGGGGUGCUCGAGUGGCGAACGGGUGAGUAACACGUGAGUAACCUGCCCUUGACUUUGGGAUAACUUCAGGAAACUGGGGCUAAUACCGGAUAGGAGCUCCUGCUGCAUGGUGGGGGUUGGAAAGUUUCGGCGGUUGGGGAUGGACUCGCGGCUUAUCAGCUUGUUGGUGGGGUAGUGGCUUACCAAGGCUUUGACGGGUAGCCGGCCUGGGAGGGUGACCGGCCACAUUGGGACUGAGAUACGGCCCAGACUCCAACGGGAGGCAGCAGUGGGGAAUAUUGCACAAUGGGCGGAAGCCUGAUGCAGCAGCGCCGCGUGCGGGAUGACGGCCUUCGGGUUGUAAACCGCUUUCGCCUGUGACGAAGCGUGAGUGACGGUAAUGGGUAAAGAAGCACCGGCUAACUACGUG
rnacentral:rRNA from 1 species